CCACAUCACAUUGAAACACUGGUUUCCAUCUGAUUACCAAUGUUAAGCAACAUCAAGCCUUAUCAGUAUCUAGAUAAGUGACCACUUGGGAAUACCAGGUGCUGUAAG